rnacentral:misc_RNA from 1 species
AACCCUUAAGCCUAGCUGCUUAGUGUUGGGAAUCUGCCCUGUUUUUUUUUUUUUUACAGCGCAGUUCCUUAAAGUGAUUGGCGGAGUUAGGGCAUACUCUAAGCGUAGUACUAUUUCUUCUCGCUUCUGUAGUUGUCCUGACGGCUUGCCGUUAAACCCCUAUAUUUCUAGU